rnacentral:misc_RNA from 1 species
GAUGAAGAACGCAGCGAAAUGCGAUAAGUAAUGUGAAUUGCAGAAUUCAGUGAAUCAUCGAAUCUUUGAACGCACAUUGCGCCCUCUGGUAUUCCGGGGGGCAUGCCUGUUCGAGCGUCAUUAUAACCACUCAAGCUCUCGCUUGGUAUUGGGGUUCGCGGUUCCGCGGCCCCUAAAAUCAGUGGCGGUGCCUGUCGGCUCUACGCGUAGUAAUACUCCUCGCGAUUGAGUCCGGUAGGUCUACUUGCCAGCAACCCCCAAUUUUUACAGGUUGACCUCGGUUCAGGUAGGGAUACCCGCUGAACUUAAGCAUAUCAAUAAGCGGAGGA